CCCUGAGCCCGCUAUGGGGCAGCCCCCUGACCCUGCUAUGGGGCAGUCCCUGAGCCCGUUGUGGGGCAGCCCCCCACCCACUCCAGCUCUGCACCCCCUCUAUGGGGCAGCCCCCUGACGCUGCUAUGGGGCAGACCCCCUCCUUUAGAUACGCACAGUCCAUAGGGCAGCCCCCUAACUCCACUAUGGGGCAGCCCCUAUCCCAUCUCUGCACUUGCUAUGGGGCAGCCCCAAACCGGCUAUGGGGCAGCCCCAAACCUUGCUAUGGGCAGCCCCCCCCUUUAGAUACACACCGCCUAUAGGGCAGCCCCCAACUCCGCUAUGGGGCAGCCCCCAUCCCAUCUAUGCACUUGCUAUGGGGCACCUGCUAUGGGGCAGCCUCCCUUUAGGUACGCACAGUCUAUGGGGCAGCCCCUCAACCCCCCUAUGGGGCACCCCCUCCCAAACCCUGCUAUGGGGCAGCCCCCCACCCACUCCAGCUAUGCACAGCCUAUAGGGCAGCCCCUAACUCCACUCUGGGGCAGCUCCCUGACCCCGCUAUGGGGCAGCCCCCCUUUAGCUACACACAAUCCAUAGGGCACCCCCUAACUCCACUCUGGGGCAGCUCCCUGACCCCGCUAUGGGGCAGGCCCCCUUUAGCUACACACAAUCAUAGGGCACCCCCUUACUCCACUCUGGGGCAGCUCCCUGACCCCGCUAUGGGCAGCCCCCCUUUAGCUACACACAAUCCAUAGGGCACCCCCUAACUCCACUCUGGGGCAGCUCCCUGACCCCGCUAUGGGGCAGCCUCCCCUUUAGAUACGCACAGUCUAUAGGUCACCCCUCUAGCUCCGCUAUGGGGCAGCCCCCCACGCAUUGCAGCUAUGCACGGCCCAUAGGGCAGCGCCCCAUUGCUAGACAGGCACGGCCUAUAGGGCAGCCCCCAUCCCUGCUAUGGGGCAGCCCCCCCUAGAUACGCACAGCCUAUAGGUCACCCUCCUACCUCCGCUAUGGGGCAGCCCCCCAUCCCAUCUAUGCACCUGCUAUGGGGCAGCCCCCAUCCCUGCUAUGGGGCAGCCCCUGACCCCUCUAUGGGGCAUCCCCUCCCAAACCUUGCUAUGGGGCAGCCCUGACCCUGCUAUGGGGCAGCCUCCCACCCACUCCAGCUAUGCACAGCCUAUGGGGCAGCCCCUCCUCUAGAUACACACAGUCCAUAGGGCAGCCCCAUAACUCCACUAUGGGGCAGCCCCCUGACCCUGCUAUGGGGCAGCGCCUUAACCCUGCUAUAGGGCAGCCCCCAAGCCUGCUUUGGGGCAGCCGCCCCUCUAGAUAUGCACAAUCUAUAGGGCAGCCCCUCACCCAGCUAUGGGGCAGCCCCCAUCCCAUCUAUGCACCUGCUAUAGGGCAGGCCCUGACCCAGUAUGGGGCAGCCCCCAAGCCUGCUAUGGGGCAGCCCCCUCCCUUUAGAUACGCACAAUCCAUAGGGCAGCCCCUCACCCAGCUGUGGGGCAGCUCCCUAACCCUGCUAUAGGGCAGCCCCCAAGCCUGCUAUGGGGCAGCCCCUCAUUUAGAUACUCGCAAUCUAUAGGGCAGCCCCUCACCCAGCUAUGGGGCAGCUCCCUAACCCUGCUAUAGGGCAGCCCCCAAGCCUGCUAUGGGGCAGCCCCUCAUUUAGAUGCUCACAAUCUAUAGGCAGCCCCUGACCCCACUAUGGGGCAGCCCCCAAGCCCGCUAUGGGGCAGCCCCCCCUAGAUACGCACAGUCCAUAGGGCAGCCUCUCACCCUGCUAUGGGGCAGCCUCCUGCCAAACCCUGCUAUGGGGCAGACCCCCCUAGAUACGCACAGUCCAUAGGGCACCCCCCUAACUCCACUAUGGGGCAGCCCCCCGUCCCUAUGCACCCCCUAUGGGGCAGCCCCUGCCAAACCCUGCUAUGGGGCAGCCCCCUGACCCUGCUAUAGGACAGCCCCCUCACCCCGCUAUGGGGCAGCCCCUAAUUUAGACACUCACAAUCUAUAGGGCAGCCCCCCCUGCCCAGCUCAGCCCCUCCAUUGGGGGGCCCAGCUCCCCCCUUUGGGGGUCUCCCCCCUGUUCCCCCCUCAGCCUCCAAUAAAGCUUCUUGUGCCCCCCAA